UACGGGGGGGGGCAAGCGUUGUUCGGAAUUACUGGGCGUAAAGGGCUCGUAGGCGGCCAACUAAGUCAUACGUGAAAUCCCUCGGCUUAACCGGGGAACUGCGUCUGAUACUGGAUGGCUUGAGAUUGGGAGAGGGAUGCGGAAUUCCAGGUGUAGCGGUGAAAUGCGUAGAUAUCAGGAGGAACACCUGUGGUGUAGACGGCUCUCUGGACCGCAACUGACGCUGAGACACGAAAAGCGUGGGUAGCAAACAGG
rnacentral:rRNA from 1 species